rnacentral:rRNA from 1 species
GUUUGAUGGCGGGGUAAUGGCCCACCAUGCCUGCGAUCCGUACCGGCUAUGGGAGUAGGAGCCGGGAGAUGGAUACUGAGACAAGGAUCCAGGUCCUACGGGACGCAGCAGUCGCGAAAUCUUCGCAAUGUCUGAAAGGAUGACGAGGGGACCCCAAGUGCCAAGGCAAAACCUUGGCUUUUCCUUAGUGUAAACAGCUAGGGGAAUAAGGGCUGGGUAAGACCGGUGCCAGCCUCCGCGGUAACACCGGCAGCUUAAGUGGUGGUCGCGUUUAUUGGGCUUAAAGCGUUCGUAGUCGGUCGCGCCAGUCCUCUGUGAAAUCCUGCCGCUUAACGGUAGGGCUUGCAGAGGAUACUACGCGGCUUGAGGCCGGGAGGGGGAUGGGGUAUUCCAGGGGUACCGGUGAAAUGGUAUAAUCCCUGGAAGACCACCUGUGGCGAAAGCGCCAUCCUGGAACGGGCCUGACGAUGAGGGACGAAAGCUGGGGGAGCAAACCGGAUUAGAUACCCGGGUAGUCCUAGCCGUAAACGAUGCGGACUGAGUAUUGCCGCAGCUUCGAGCUUCGGCAGUGCUGUAGGGAAACUGUCAAGUCCGCCGCCUGGGGAGUAUGGUCGCAAAGGCCUGAAACUUAAAGGAAUUGGCGGGGGAGCACCACAAGGGGUGGAUGCUGCGGUUCAAUUGGAUACAACCCCGGGAAACUUACCAGGGGCGACGGCACCGUGAUGGCCAGGCUAAAGGUCUUGCUGGAGGAGCCGAGAGGUAGUGCAUGGCCGUCGUCAGCUCGUACCGUGAGGCGUACGGUUAAGUCCGUUAACGAGCGAGACCCGUACCCAUAUUUGCCAGACACCUCCACGGAGGUGGAGCACUAUAUGGGGACCGCUGGCGAUGAGUCAGAGGAAGGCGCGGGCGACGGUAGGUCUGUAUGCUCCGAAUCUCCUGGGCUACACGCGGCAUACAAUGGCACAGACAAUGGGUUGCCACCCCGAAAGGGGGAGCUAAUCCCCAAACUGUGUCUCAGUCCGGAUCGAGGGUUGAAACUCACCCUCGUGAAGAUGAAAUCCCUAGUAAUCGCUUUUUACCAAAAAGCGGUGAAUGUGUCCCUGCUCCUUGCACACACCGCCCGUCACGUCAACCGAGUGGAUUGUAGGUGAGGCUGUCUCAUCCUGGGAUGGUCGAAUCUAUG